AUUGAACGCUGGCGGCAUGCUUUACACAUGCAAGUCGAACGGUAACAGACCGCAAGGUGCUGACGAGUGGCGAACGGGUGAGUAAUGCAUCGGAACGUGCCCAGUCGUGGGGGAUAACGCAGCGAAAGCUGUGCUAAUACCGCAUACGAUCUGUGGAUGAAAGCGGGGGACCGUAAGGCCUCGCGCGAUUGGAGCGGCCGAUGUCAGAUUAGGUAGUUGGUGGGGUAAAGGCUCACCAAGCCGACGAUCUGUAGCUGGUCUGAGAGGACGACCAGCCACACUGGGACUGAGACACGGCCCAGACUCCUACGGGAGGCAGCAGUGGGGAAUUUUGGACAAUGGGCGCAAGCCUGAUCCAGCAAUGCCGCGUGCAGGAAGAAGGCCUUCGGGUUGUAAACUGCUUUUGUACGGAGCGAAAAGGCUCUCUCUAAUACAGGGGGCUCAUGACGGUACCGUAAGAAUAAGCACCGGCUAACUACGUGCCAGCCGCCGCAGUAAUAC
rnacentral:rRNA from 1 species